rnacentral:rRNA from 1 species
GACGAACGCUGGCGGCGUGCCUAAUACAUGCAAGUGGGACGCAAGGAAACACACUGUGCUUGCACACCGUGUUUUCUUGAUUCGCGAACGGGUGAGUAACGCGUACGUAACCUGCCUAUUAUUGGUGGAUAACUAUUGGAAACGAUAGCUAAUACCGCAUAAUAUUAAUUAUUGCCUUAUAAUUGAUUGAAAGAUGCAAGCGCAUCUCUAUUAGCUGGACCUUCGUUGUAUUAGCUAGUUGGUAAGGUAAGAGCUUACCAAGGCGACGAGACAUAGCCGACCCGAGAGGGUGAUCGGCAACACUGGGAAGGAGACACGGACCAGAAGUCUAAGGGAGGCAGCAGUAGGGAAUCUUCGGGAAGGGACGGAAGUCUAACCGAGCAAAGCCGCGUGAGUGAAGAAGGGUUACGGAGCGUAAAGGUAGGUUGUAAGUGAAGAACGUGCGUGAGAGUGGAGAGUUCAAACAGUGACGGUAGCUUAGGAGAAAGGGACGGCUAACUACGUG